rnacentral:ncRNA from 2 species
CGUGGUCGCCGUGGAACCCGGUGCGAAUCCGGGACGGUCCCGCCACUGUGACCGGCCGUUUCCCGGCCGGGAGUCAGAGCUUCGGCGGCCGCG